rnacentral:sRNA from 1 species
GGGGUGAGCCAGGCCCGGGACCCAAACCCAGUGUACGCAGAGCUCAGCAGCCACCCACAUCCCCCGGGCUUGGCUCCCCCUGACCUGUGCUCUCCUGGCCACAGAAACACUCGGCGGCCACAGACAUCACGUCCUCCCUAUCAGACGACCAGGUACCCGAGGCUUUCCUGGUCAUGCUGCUGAUCCAGUUCAGUACCAUGGUGGUCGACCGCGCCCUCUACCUGCGCAAGACCGUGCUGGGCAAGCUGGCCUUCCAGGUGGUGCUGGUGCUGGCCAUCCACCUAUGGAUGUUCUUCAUCCUGCCCGCCGUCACUGAGAGGAUGUUCAACCAGAAUGUGGUGGCCCAGCUCUGGUACUUCGUGAAGUGCAUCUACUUCGCCCUGUCCGCCUACCAGAUCCGCUGCGGCUACCCCACCCGCAUCCUCGGCAACUUCCUCACCAAGAAGUACAAUCACCUCAACCUCUUCCUCUUCCAGGGGUGAGUGCAGGUCCGCCGGGGUGGGGGUCACGGCCCGGGCAUGAGGGAGCCUACCUGACGGGAACCCUGGCUGUGGGCAGGUUCCGGCUGGUGCCGUUCCUGGUGGAGCUACGGGCAGUGAUGGACUGGGUGUGGACGGACACCACGCUGUCCCUGUCCAGCUGGAUGUGUGUGGAGGACAUCUAUGCUAACAUCUUCAUCAUCAAAUGCAGCCGAGAGACAGAGAAGGUGCCUGGGCCCGGGGCGGGGGCCGGGACAAGGGCCAGGGAUAUGCCCUCUCCCUAAGACAGGCACUGCUGCCACGAGAACCCGUGGUGCUGGAGGCUCUCCCAGGGCUCGGAGCCCCUCCCAGGGCUCGGAGCCCAUGGGGACAUGAGGCGAGCCCACCCACUAGCUGAUCACGAGGCCAGUGAUCUUGGCAGCUGCGAGUGAGUGCUGGGGGCAGAAGUGGGCAGCGGAGUUGGUCCUGUUCCAGGCAGGCUGGCAGCAGAGCAGGGCCUGGUGCAGGGAGGACCGGACAGCCACUGUUUGCUGCGUUCUUGUGUAAUGGCUUUUCUCAGAGAGAAUUCGUGUGUCAGAGCACUCCCCCAUUUAAAAAGUACAACUCAGGGGUUUCUAGUAGAUUCACAGUUGAGCAUCUGCCUUUCCACCACUUCAAAAAGAAACCCCGGGCCGGGCACAGCGGCUCACGCCUGUCAUCCCAGCACUGUAAGAGACCCAGGAGGGAGGUACUGCUCAAGGCCAGGAGUUCAAGAUCUGCACGGCAACAAGCGAGACCCUGCCUCAGCAAAUGUAAAAAUAAAACAAUUAGCUGGCAAUGGCAGCUCAUGCCUAUGGUCCCAGCACU